rnacentral:rRNA from 1 species
AUUGAACGCUGGCGGCAGGCCUAACACAUGCAAGUCGAGCGGAUGAGGAAGGCUUGCUUUUCGAUUCAGCGGCGGACGGGUGAGUAAUGCCUAGGAAUCUGCCUGUUAGUGGGGGAUAACUCGGGGAAACUCGGGCUAAUACCGCAUACGUCCUACGGGAGAAAGUGGGGGAUCUUCGGACCUCACGCUAACAGAUGAGCCUAGGUCGGAUUAGCUAGUAGGUGAGGUAAUGGCUCACCUAGGCGACGAUCCGUAACUGGUCUGAGAGGAUGAUCAGUCACACUGGAACUGAGACACAGUCCAGACUCCUACGGGAGGCAGCAGUGGGGAAUAUUGGACAAUGGGCGAAAGCCUGAUCCAGCCAUGCCGCGUGUGUGAAGAAGGUCUUCGGAUUGUAAAGCACUUUAAGUUGGGAGGAAGGGCAGUAAGUUAAUACCUUGCUGUUUUGACGUUACCGACAGAAUAAGCACCGGCUAACUUCGUGCCAGCCGCCGCCGUAAAAC